rnacentral:lncRNA from 1 species
UGAUGUUGGUCCAAUACUCUUUUCAGCCCAUUCACAUAUUCGUACAAAUGAUCCUCCUUUUCGACAAAAUUUGCAAAUAAUUUCAUAUUUCAGCACUAAAUAUGUUUACAUCACAGGCCAUAAAGCCGUACAAACUAGUAUCACUUGUUCCUAUACAAAACUAUCAAAUGAUACAUACAACAAAACAGAAUACAGAAAAUUUAGUUCAACAAAAAUAAGUUUUCUUCCUCUUCCAUCUUCCAGGACACAAAACACCUGUGAAAGUAAAGAUGCCACAACAAAAAUGGAAGGAUCAGCCAUUAGAAGCAUAUUGAGUACAAGGGAAACACGCACUGUGAAAUUUUUGACAGCACGAAUAUUUUUUAUAUUAUAAUAACAAACAGAAAUGUAAUCUGAUUGCAUAAGACAUAUGGCAUUAUCAACAAGACAAAGCAAAAUUUAUAGUGCCAACUCGGGAAUAAGAUAAAGCAAAAUUUAUAAAUCUAUAGCAUCGCACACGAGGUCUAAAUUUAUAAUAUGUUCCUUUAGAAGCAAGAGUUGGUUCGUGUCUAGCUUUUAUUGCAGAUAACUAGUAAAUUUCCACAAAAAAUAGGAGCGACAUAUGUUUUAAUCUCGUGUUUGCAGUAUAUAUUCACAACAUGUAAGAAUACUUUGAUUAACAAACUAACCAACCAUCAACUAACACUUCACAGUACCAACUAACACUUCAUAGUACCAACUAACACUUCACAGUACCAAAAAAAUGGGGUGGCGCUCACCAAUUCAGAUGUGCAGCAGCCAUGAGGGCUUCUUCGUGUUCCACCUACAGCAACGGCAACUUCUACAAAUCUGAGACACAAAACAAACGCAUGCAGAAGGAAUCAGAGGGAGGGGAGAUGAAGAACAUGGCAGGCAUUUAUAUGAUGGCAGUACAUAUGGAACAAACAGCAGUCCAUACUUGCAUCAUCAUGUGUAUAACAAAAUCACGGUCGCCUCUACAGAUAGCACUACUAGAGUAGAGAGCCAAGCAUAAUAAUUCUACCAGGAGACAAUGUAAACACAGAGUCACACCAUUG